rnacentral:tRNA from 1 species
AGCUCCAUAGUGUAAUAACUAGCAUGUCUGCUUUAUAUGCGGAAGGUCCUGGGUUCGCACCCAGGUGGAGCCA